rnacentral:rRNA from 1 species
UACGGGGGGGGGCAAGCGUUUGUUCGGAAUUACUGGGCGUAAAGGGCUCGUAGGCGGCCAACUAAGUCGGACGUGAAAUCCCCAGGCUCAACCUGGGAACUGCGUCCGAUACUGGAUGGCUUGAAUCCGGGAGAGGGAUGCAGAAUUCCAGGUGUAGCGGUGAAAUGCGUAGAUAUCGAGAGGAACACCUGCGGCGAAGGCGGGUAGCUGGGCCGACACUGACGCUGAUGCGCGAAAGCCAGGGGAGCGAACGGG